GGUCACUCUGGUGGUCACUGUGGUUGUCACUGUGACCACUGUGGUCAUUCUGGUUACUCUGGUGGUCACCGUGGUCACUCUGGUGGUCACUGGGGUCACUCUGGUGGUCACUCAAGUGA
rnacentral:lncRNA from 1 species